rnacentral:rRNA from 1 species
CGCACGAGCGCACCCCUAUCCUUAUUUGCCAGCACGUAAUGGUGGGAACUCUAGGGAGACUGCCGGUGAUAAACCGGAGGAAGGUGGGGACGACGUCAAGUCAUCAUGGCCCUUACGAGUAGGGCUACACACGUGCUACAAUGGCGUAUACAGAGGGUUGCAAAGCCGCGAGGUGGAGCUAAUCUCACAAAGUACGUCGUAGUCCGGAUCGGAGUCUGCAACUCGACUCCGUGAAGUCGGAAUCGCUAGUAAUCGUGGAUCAGAAUGCCACGGUGAAUACGUUCCCGGGCCUUGUACACACCGCCCGUCACACCAUGGGAGUGGGCUGCAAAAGAAGUGGGUAGUUUAACCUUUCGGGGAGGACGCUCACCACUUUGUGGUUCAUGACUGGGGUGAAGUCGUAACAAGGUAGCCCUAGGGGAACCUGGGGCUGGAUCACCUCCUU